CUCGGCCUGCGCCACUCAAACCGUGGGGGCACUUUGUGCUUAAAGAUGGAAAGUGCCGCUAGGUUCGAGUGUCGCCGGCCGAG
ensembl:miRNA